GCUUGAGCCUGCUUACCCAACUCCUGUGAUCUCACUGGGAAGCUGCUGAUCAGCAAUUAUAGAACCAGUGGCUUUGUUGGGCACUGGAGGUACAUAAAGAAGAAGACAUAUAUGCUGUCUUAGGGUCUUCAUGGGUCUCCAGCCAGGAGUCAGAUGACAUCACUACAAUCGUAAGCUGGUGAUGCCAGAGAGCGAGAAGUCAUCAUCUAGGAACCAGAAAGCUGAUUUACCAGACGUGGAAUCCGCCAGCAUCUUGGCCUUGGACUUCCCAGCCUCCAGAACUAGGAAACGUUCCAAUACAUCCGAGGAAACACAUGCCUUCCCAGACUGGCCUGAUGCUGUUUCCCAGGAGCUGCAUUCUGGAAGGUGGACCAUCAGGUGGAAGAAGUAUUCUUCAGAGAGCUGCCUUCCCAAGGGAAUGGUGACAGCUGGCGCUUGCCGGGGAGUCCUGCUGCCUUCCGAGGUGUGAAGGGAAGGCAUGCACUGUGCAUAUGCUGUACCAUACAGUUUUGCCUACAACUGCUUGUAGCUUCAUUGUAGCUGUGAAUGCUCUGUUCCUCUCCUUUUCACCCCUGAAGAUUCGCGAACAUGCAGGAUUGAGCUGUGCGAGGCAUAGCACUCCCCACAUGGUAGGCGAAGGAGGAUGUGGGUCUGAUGGUUCUACCCACCCAGGCGGAUGGACAUGUGUUCCGGGAUAUCAGAGCUUGUGGCUGACCAACCCACAAGUCCACAGGCAGCCCCCCAACAUGGCUGUGUCGACAUUUUGGGUUUCAUUGAAGGUUUUAACUGGUACAGACUUUACAAAGGCAAAAAUAUUUCUCGAGGAAGUGGACAUGAAAGGUCUGUAAUCAGAGGCUGUGUAAAAUGAGAAGCCAUCAGUUGCAGAAAAGCAAGCACUGAUUAAUGACCUAUCUACAUCGUACAUGGUUUCAGGACUGCAUGGAGAUAAGCUUAAAGACGCUGGCCUAAAAACUAUGAAUGUGCUUCCGUCUUUGCCAGGUAGGAUAAGAGAGCCUUGCAGACUUGCUUCUAACUAGAGAGGAGGAGAGGCUGAGAAGGGAGAGGGAGAA